rnacentral:rRNA from 1 species
UACGUAGGGGGCAAGCGUUAUCCGGAAUCACUGGGCGUAAAGGGUGCGUAGGCGGCCAAUAAAGUCAGGGGUGAAAGGCUACGGCUUAACCGUAGUAAGCCUUUGAAACUUAUUGGCUUGAGUGCAGGAGAGGUAAGUGGAAUUCCUAGUGUAGCGGUGAAAUGCGUAGAUAUUAGGAGGAACACCAGUGGCGAAGGCGACUUACUGGACUGUAACUGACGCUGAGGCACGAAAGCGUGGGGAGCGAACAGGAUUAGAUACCCUGGUAGUCCACGCCGUAAACGAUGAGUGCUAGGUGUCGGAGCCGACAGGCUUCGGUGCCGCAGCAAACGCAUUAAGCACUCCGCCUGGGGAGUACGUUCGCAAGAAUGAA